rnacentral:rRNA from 1 species
UUGAAGACGACGACGUAGAUAGGCUGGGUGUGUAAGCGUAGCGAUACGUUGAGCUGACCAGUACUAAUGACCCGAGAGGCUUAACCUUACAACACCGAAGGUGUUU